AAAGGAAUUGACGGGGGCCCGCACAAGCGGUGGAUCAUGUGGUUUAAUUCGAAGCAACGCGAAGAACCUUACCUGGGUUUGACAUCCUUUGAUCGACGUAGAGAUACGUAAUUUGUAGCAAUACAACAAAGUGACAGGUGCUGCAUGGCUGUCGUCAGCUCGUGUGGUGACAUGUUGGGUUAAGUCCCGCAACGAGCGCAACCCUUGUCUUUAGUUGCCAGCAUUCAGUUGGGCACUCUAAAGAGACUGCCGUGGUUAACACGGAGGAAGGUGGGGAUGACGUCAAGUCCUCAUGGCCCUUAUGCCCAGGGCGACACACGUGAUACAAUGGACGGUACAGAGGGAAGCCAACCCGCGAGGGGGAGCUAAUCUCAAAAAGCCGUUCUCAGUUCGGAUUGGAGUCUGCAACUCGACUCCAUGAAGUUGGAAUCGCUAGUAAUCGCGGAUCAGCACGCCGCGGUGAAUACGUUCCCGGGCCUUGCACACACCGCCCGU
rnacentral:rRNA from 1 species